UCACAGGGAAGAGCAACCCAGCCCGGGAGGAGCGGGAGGAGCGGGAGGAGCGACUCUUUUUGGCCUUUGCUUCCCGGCCGGUGGAGGGCUCCCCAGAGCACGUCGCCUCA
ensembl:miRNA gga-mir-6606 gga-mir-6606